GUAGGUGGCAAGCGUUGUCCGGAAUUAUUGGGGCGUAAAGCGCGCGCAGGCGGUUCUUUAAGUCUGAUGUGAAAGCCCACGGGCUCAACCGUGGAGGGUCAUUGGAAACUGGAGAACUUGAGUACAGAAGAGGAAAGCGGAAUUCCACGUGUAGCGGUGAAAUGCGUAGAGAUGUGGAGGAACACCAGUGGCGAAGGCGGCUUUCUGGUCUGUAACUGGCGCUGAGGCGCGAAAGCGUGGGGAGCAAACAGGAUUAGAUACCCUGGUAGUCCACGCCGUAAACGAUGAGUGCUAAGUGUUAGGGGGUUUCCGCCCCUUAGUGCUGCAGCUAACGCAUUAAGCACUCCGCCUGGGGAGUACGGCCGCAAAGGCUG
rnacentral:rRNA from 1 species